AUGGCGGAGGCGAGCCGCAGCCACCCGUCGCGGUACGUGAAGUUGACCAAGGACCAGGACGCUUCCGCCUCAGGCGUCGAGGACAUCCGCCCCGGCGAGCUCAACCUGCCUGUCGCCGUCCCGCAGCUGGAGCAGAGGAAGUGCUUCGAGUGCGGGCAGGUGCUGCCUGAGAGCCACCGAGCGCCGGCCGACGAGCCGUGGACAACCGGCAUCUUCGGGUGCGCUGAAGACCCCGAGAGCUGCCGGACUGGACUAUUCUGCCCCUGUGUUUUGUUUGGACGAAAUGUUCAGGCCCUUAGAAGAUAUCCCAUGGACAACACCCUGCACUUGUCAUGCUGUCUGUGUUGA
rnacentral:rRNA from 1 species